AAUAUUGGACAAUGGGGGCAACCCUGAUCCAGCCAUGCCGCGUGUGUGAAGAAGGUCUUCGGAUUGUAAAGCACAUUAAGUUGGGAGGAAGGGCUUUAGGUUAAUACCCUGAAGUUUUGACGUUACCAACAGAAUAAGAAAUGGCUAACUCUGCUACUUCAGCCGCGGUAAUACAGAGGGUGCACGCGUUAAUCAGAAUUACUGGGCGUAAAGCGCGCGUAGGUGGUUCAGUAAGAUGGGUGUGAAAUCCCCGGGCUUACCCUGGGAACUGCUUUCAUAACUGCUGAGCUAGAGUACGGUAGAGGGUAGUGGAAUUUCCUGUGUAGCGGUGAAAUGCGUAGAUAUAGGAAGGAACACCAGUGGCGAAGGCGACUACCUGGACUGAUACUGACACUGAGGUGCGAAAGCGUGGGGAGCAAA
rnacentral:rRNA from 1 species